GCGGCAGGCCUAACACAUGCAAGUCGAACGAAGCCUUCGGGCUUAGUGGCGGACGGGUGAGUAACGCGUGGGGAUGUGCCUUGGGGUGCGGAACAACAGCUGGAAACGGCUGCUAAUACCGCAUGAUGUCUACGGACCAAAGAUUUAUCGCCCUGAGAUCAACCCGCGUUGGAUUAGAUAGUUGGUGAGGUAAUGGCUCACCAAGUCGACGAUCCAUAUCUGGUUUGAGAGGAUGAUCAGACACACUGGGACUGAGACACGGCCCAGACUCCUACGGGAGGCAGCAGUGGGGAAUCUUGGACAAUGGGGGCAAGCCUGAUCCAGCCAUGCCGCGUGAGCGAUGAAGGCCUUAGGGUUGUAAAGCUCUUUCACCGGUGAAGAUAAUGACGGUAGCCGGAGAAGAAGCCCCGGCUAACUCCGUGCCAGCAGCCGCGGUAAUACGGAGGGGGCUAGCGUUGUUCGGAAUUACUGGGCGUAAAGCGCGCGUAGGCGGGCUGUUAAGUCGGGGGUGAAAUC
rnacentral:rRNA from 1 species